rnacentral:rRNA from 1 species
CAAUACGUCAGUGGCAGACGGGUGAGUAACGCGUGGGAACGUACCUUUUGGUUCGGAACAACACAGGGAAACUUGUGCUAAUACCGGAUAAGCCCUUACGGGGAAAGAUUUAUCGCCAAAAGAUCGGCCCGCGUCUGAUUAGCUAGUUGGUGAGGUAACGGCUCACCAAGGCGACGAUCAGUAGCUGGUCUGAGAGGAUGAUCAGCCACAUUGGGACUGAGACACGGCCCAG